rnacentral:lncRNA from 13 species
GGCAGGAGAAUUGCUUGAACCCAGGAGGUCAAGGUUGCAGUGAGCUGAGAUCUUGCCACUGUACUCCAGCCUGGGCUACAGAGCGAGACUCCAUCUCAGAAAAAGGAAAAAAACAAGAGCAUUGCUUACAAGACAAGUAAAAUUUUCUCAUUAUUGAAAUGAGUAAAGCGAAGAUCAAGAAAAACUACUUUUGCAUUACGGAUGGAAGAAGCAGAACUGCCCCUUUGAUUCCAGUCACCAGCACCAAAAUAACAUCCCUAGAGGCGUGUAUUUGUGAAGCUCUGCAGGACCUAUUGAACAAAUCUGCCUUAUAAUAGAGUGCUUCCCGCAGAGCAUGAAUUUGAG